rnacentral:rRNA from 1 species
GGUGAGUAAUGCCUAGGAAUCUGCCUGGUAGUGGGGGACAACGUUUCGAAAGGAACGCUAAUACCGCAUACGUCCUACGGGAGAAAGCAGGGGACCUUCGGGCCUUGCGCUAUCAGAUGAGCCUAGGUCGGAUUAGCUAGUUUGUGAGGUAAUGGCUCACCAAGGCGACGAUCCGUAACUGGUCUGAGAGGAUGAUCAGUCACACUGGAACUGAGACACGGUCCAG